ensembl:lncRNA
GAUCAUACAUGCACAAGUGUUCAGUGACCUAGUGAAUGUGAUUUCAAUAUCUCCUGUCUCUUGGAUUUCCCCAGAUCUCUGCAUAACAGAUAAGUUGCCAAAAGGAAACUGUAAUUUCUGACAAAGUUUGUUAAUCAAAUCAAAUACAUGACAUAUCCAAGAUAUAUAUUUAUAAUCUGUGUGGUCAAGUCUCAGUAAUCUAUGAGAUUGAAAGUUACAUGCUCAAUGUUUUUCCAUCACUGAUAUGACUUCGAGGAUUUAUCAGUGAUAUCACUUUGGAAACAAGUAGAAGAUUGCUGGAACCCUGCCAAACCCCUGUUGAGGUGAUAAGGAGUCUCUAAUGGUUAGAGAAACAAGUAGAAGAUUGCUGGAACCCUGCCAAACCCCUGUUGAGGUGAUAAGGAGUCUCUAAUGGUUAGAGACUGACUAACAUGUUCUGAAUGUAGCUCUUUUUCAGGUGGAGAACAAAUGGAACCUAAAAAAUAGCCUUAUCUGGACUGCAACGUUCUCUAGAGCAGUAGAAUGAAGAGAAAUGGCAUGCUCUUGGAAUUCAUGAGAAUAUCUGGCAAGCAGAAAAUUUUCUUUUGGUGGGGUGAGACGUUGGCUCUCUCUCUCUCUCUCUCUCUCUCUCUCUCUCUCUCACCCUUGAAUAAGCACUCCAACACACACCCUCCCAAGCUGCUUUGGGGGCCUAGGUAGUAGAGGUUGAAAAAAAAAAACACAGAAGAGUAUAUCCAAAUACACACUGUGUUAGGUCUGACUGUUAGUGGUCCAUAUCCUUCCUUACCUUCAUCCAAACCACCCCCAUCCCCAACACACACACACCCACACACACAUCACUUCCCUUCCUCCUUUUUCAAGACAUGGGUGUACAACUGUGAGCUUUUGGGGGGAAUAAAACCCCCUGGCCUGGACAGCACAGGGGUAUUGCAGAGCAGGAUGGCGAGAGGGACGGCUGCACUGGUUUUGCAUGGAUUUGUCCUCCUGCUGGCUGUGUGUGGACCCUCACUACAAGGAGGGGUCUACAUACCACCUGCAGGAGGAGGAGCUGGAGCUGGACUAGGGGCUGGCGUUGGACCUGGAACCGGAGUAGGGACUGGCGGUAUAAGUACUGGAAUUCGUCCAGGGACUGGGCCUGGAGGUGGACUAGGAACUGGACCAGGAGGAGGGACUGGAUUUGGAGUGCCAGGAGCUGGAACUGGAGCAUAUGGCCCUGGCCUUGGUGCAGGAGGAGUUGGACCAGGCGGUUAUGGCACAGGCCUUGGAGCAGGUGGAUCAGUCCCUGGAGGGGUUGGAACUGGGGGACCAGGUGUUGGUUUGGGCACUGGAGGUCUUGGAACAGGAACUGCUGUCAAGCCUCCUAAAACAGGAUAUGGUGGUCAGAUUAUUGGCACUGGAGGACUUGGCACUGGUGCACUAGGAGGAACUGGACUCCAGCCAGGAGGAGUUGGGACAGGGCUUGGUGUUGGCUUACGGCCAGGAGGUACUGGAUUAGGUGCUGGUGGUGUGGGUCCAGGUGGAGUACUUCCUGGUGGGUUUGGUCCUGGAGGAGUAGGAGGAGUGGGUCCAGGUGGAGCGGGUAUUGGAGGUCUUGGUCCUGCAGGAGUAGGUCCUGGUGGUUAUGGAGCUGGUGGGGUUGGCAGAGGUAUUGGUGGAAAACCUCCAAAACCAGGUUUUGGCCAGUAUGGAAUUGGACCAGGUGGAACUGGUAUUGGAGUUGGCCCAGGCGGACUUGGCCCAGGCGGACUUGGCCCAGGCGGACUUGGCCCAGGCGGAGUUGGCCCAGGCGGAGUUGGCCCAGGUGGAGUUGGCCCAGGAGGAGUUGGUCCAGGAGGAGUUGGCCCAGGAGGAGUUGGCCCAGGAGGAGUUGGCCCAGGCGGAUUUGGCCCAGGCGGAUUUGGCCCAGGCGGAGUUGGCCCAGGCGGAUUUGGCCCAGGCGGAUUUGGCCCAGGCGGAGUUGGCCCAGGAGGAACUGGCCUGGGUUUUGGUCCUGGUGGAGUUGGAACAGGAUUUGGCGGCAUUGGAGGCCUAUACCCUGGAGCUGGCCUGAAACCACCAAAAACUGGUAUGUGAUUAAUUUUUUUUUGUACUAUUGUAAAAUUCUUGUACUAUCAAUGCAACUGAGUAAAUUACAUUUAAAAAGCAUUUUAAUAAAAAUCUGCAUUAGGUGCAGGAGUUGGACCUGGUGGAACUGGUAUUCUUCCUGGUGGCACAGGUGUUGGCCCAGGUGGUGUUGGAUUUGGCCCUGGAGGAGCGGGAGUUGGUCCAGGUGGUGCUGGUAUUGGCCCUGGGGGAGCAGGAGUUGGUCCAGGUGGUGCUGGUAUUGGCCCUGGAGGAGCAGGAGUUGGUCCAGGUGGUGCUGGUAUUGGCCCUGGAGGAGCAGGAGUUGGUCCAGGUGGUGCUGGUAUUGGCCCUGGAGGAGCAGGAGUUGGUCCAG